AGCUCUCCGAGUGGUGUGGAUGUUUAUUGGGCCUAAAGCAUCCGUAGCUGGCUAGGUAAGUCCCUUGUUAAAUCCACCGAAUUAAUCGUUGGAUCGCGGGGGAUACUGCUUGGCUAGGGGACGAGAGAGGCAGACGGUAUUCUCGGGGUAGGGGUGAAAUCCUAUAAUCCCGGGAAGACCACCAGUGGCGAAGGCUGUCUGCUAGAACGCGCCCGACGGUGAGGGAUGAAAGCUGGGGGAGCGAACC
rnacentral:rRNA from 1 species